rnacentral:rRNA from 1 species
AUUGAACGCUGGCGGCAGGCCUAACACAUGCAAGUCGAACGAGUGGCGGACGGGUGAGGAAUGUCUGGGAAACUGCCUGAUGGAGGGGGAUAACUACUGGAAACGGUAGCUAAUACCGCAUACCAUCCGAUGUGCCCAGAUGGGAUUAGCUAGUUUGUGGGGUAACGGCUCACCAAGGAGACGAUCCCUAGCUGGUCUGAGAGGAUGACCAGGGAAACGUGAACUGAGAAACGGUCAAGACGACUACGGGAGGCAGUCGUGCGGAAGAUGGCACAAUGGGCGCAAGUCUGAAGCAGCCAUGGCGCGUGUAUGAGCAAGGAAUUAGGGUUUCAAAGUACUUUCAGCGGGUAGGCGUAACCCGUAUAAGAAGCACCGGCUAACUCCGUGCUAGCAGCCGCGGUAAUAC